rnacentral:rRNA from 1 species
AGUGAACGCUGGCGGUAGGCCUAACACAUGCAAGUCGAACGGCAGCACAGUAAGAGCUUGCUCUUACGGGUGGCGAGUGGCGGACGGGUGAGGAAUACAUCGGAAUCUACUUUUUCGUGGGGGAUGACGUAGGGAAACUUACGCUAAUACCGCAUACGACCUACGGGUGAAAGCAGGGGAUCUUCGGACCUUGCGCGAUUGAAUGAGCCGAUGUCGGAUUAGCUAGUUGGCGGGGUAAAGGCCCACCAAGGCGACGAUCCGUAGCUGGUCUGAGAGGAUGAUCAGCCACACUGGAACUGAGACACGAUCCAGACUCCUACGGGAGGCAGCAGUGGGGAAUAUUGGACAAUGGGCGCAAGCCUGAUCCAGCCAUACCGCGUGGGUGAAGAAGGCCUUCGGGUUGUAAAGCCCUUUUGUUGGGAAAGAAAAGCAGCAGGUUAAUACCCCGCUGUUCUGACGGUACCCAAAGAAUAAGCACCGGCUAACUUCGUG